rnacentral:rRNA from 1 species
GCUACGGGGGGCAGCAGUGGGGAAUAUUGCACAAUGGGGGAAACCCUGAUGCAGCGACGCCGCGUGAGUGAAGAAGUAAUUCGUUACGUAAAGCUCUAUCAGCAGGGAAGAAAUACUGACCUUACGGUCAGAAGACGGUACCUGUCGAAUAAGCCACGGCUAACUACGUGCCAGCAGCCGCGGUAAUACGUAGGUGGCAAGCGUUGUCCGGAUUUACUGGGUGUAAAGGGCGUGUAGCCGGGCUGACAAGUCAGAUGUGAAAUCCGGGGGCUCAACCCCCGAACUGCAUUUGAAACUGUUGGUCUUGAGUAUCGGAGAGGCAGGCGGAAUUCCUAGUGUAGCGGUGAAAUGCGUAGAUAUUAGGAGGAACACCAGUGGCGAAGGCGGCCUGCUGGACGGUGACUGACGCUGAGGCUCGAAAGCGUGGGGAGCAAACAGGAUUAGAUACCCUAGUAGUC